rnacentral:rRNA from 1 species
UAGAGAUCCGGAGGAACGUCGGUGGCGUAAGCGGCCAACUGGGGCCUGACCUGACGCUGAGGCACGAAAGCGUGGGGAGCGAACCGGAUUAGAUACCCGGGUAGUCCACGCCGUAAACGAUGUCGGCUCGGUGUGUGAUGCUAUUACGGUGUCGCGUGCCCAAGCUCACGCGGUAAGCCGACCGCCUGGGGACUACGGCCGCAAGGCUAAAACUCAAAGGAAUUGACGGGGGCCCGCACAAGCAGCGGAGCGUGUGGUUUAAUUCGACGCAACGCGAAGAACCUUACCCAGAUUUGACAUGCGACUGCAAGCGCACGGAAACGUGUGACCUUCGAGGGUGUCGCACAGGUGCAGCAUGGCUGUCGUCAGCUCGUGUCGUGAGAUGUUGGGUUAAGUCCCGCAACGAGCGCAACCCUCGCCGUCAGUUAUCAGUGUCUGGCGGGACUGCCGACUGUUGGUCGGAGGAAGGCGGGGAUGACGUCAAGUCCGCAUGGCCCGGACGUCUGGGGCGACACACACGCUACAAUGACCAGCACAGCACGCUGCAAACCCGCAAGGGGGAGCUAAUCGCCAAAGCUGGUCUCAGUGCAGAUCGGGGGCUGCAACUCGCCCCCGUGAAGGCGGAGUUGCUAGUAACCGCGUAUCAGCCAUGGCGCGGUGAAUACGUACCCGGGCCUUGUACACACCGCCCGUCACGUCAUGGGAGUUGGCAAUGCCUGAAGUCCGUGGCUCAACCUCCGGGGAGAGACGGCCGAGG